AAUUUUUUUAAUUUCUCCAAUCAAAUCCACCACCAAAAUAGUGAGUACAUACUAACUUAAAAUAAUGUUAAUUAAUAUCUUUUUUAAACUAAUACAUAUUAACUUUACAUAAUGUUAAGCCAAGUGACUUUUUAAAAUAUUUUUUGUAUUUUAUGUAAAAUAUGUGCUACUUGAAUUAUUUUUUCAAUAACCACUGGCUCAUUCAACCGAGGUGGUUUGAUUGUUCCCCAGACCACAUAGGCUUGCUGGGUACAUCAAUUUCCUUUUCCGGUUUUGUCUCGAUGAUAUUACUCUUCUUUUCCCUUUUCUCUUCUUUCGGGGCUGCCCCGGGCUUCUUUUCUUCAUCAGCAAUAGCAAUUAUGGCCUUAAGCGCCGGAUCAAUUUUUUUGUCCUCACAAAUCAUCCCAAUUAGCGGCCCGUUGUUGUGAGCGGGCAUCGGAUUAUUGGUCACAUUUGGGACAUCCUCAUCCUUCAAUACAAUUCUCCCUUGCUCUAUUAAAUCGCUUAUUUCAGAGUCCAACAGUCAUUUGUAUCAUACCCUUCGACCCCUGAAUGAUAGGCACAUCUGACACCCCGCUGAUAUGAUGGUGAUUCUGGGUAUUGCCCGUUUGGAGGUAUGGGUUGCAACAAAUUCAUCUGGACAAGCUUAGGGAAUAGGGUGGAGUAGAGUUCACCGAUUGGUGUAUAGUUGGGUCUCCUGGGUGGUUCUCGGGGACGGAAGUUAUUAUUGGAAAGUCGAGGAUUAUAGUGGUUCUGGUGAGGAGGCUGGUAGAAUGGAGGUUGAUUUCUGUUAGCCCGUGGUUGCGGUCGGGCGAAAGGUUGAGCGUUCAUGACCGCAUAAGGUGGUGGAGCAUAGUCCAUAUCGGAACGAGGAUAGUAGUGUUGAGGGUUUCUUUCGGAAAACACAGGUCUAGGAGCCCAGUAUCUUCCUUCCCCUAAUGCCUCUAUGGUUGUUUCUUCUCUUGUCUUGCUCUUUGCCAUUCCUCCAGACCCGUCUUGGAUGGCUUGGGAGGUUUCUCUGAUGGUUGACUGACUCCAAAUCCUACUAUUUUCAAAAUCCACCAACAACUCUUCUUUUUCUCCGAUCCCACGCAGCUGAUUACAAUACUUUUUCGAGUGAGCGAUGAGAUCACCAUGCCCAUCAUACUUUUCAUCUUUCUCGGGAGUUUUGAGAGUUUUAUCUUUCCCUGGUGUAAUCUCAUAUGGUGGUGGAUGAGGGUGAGCACAUAUGGGGCACGGCAGAUCUGCCUGAAAGACAGGAUUCUGGAAAGUGAACACACAAGGGUCAAAAUCAGGAUUUGACAAUGAAGGUUGUACUGUGGCAGAGCAUGGUGGAGCCGUAAAGAUGUUGGGAGCCGUCCAGGGCAUGAAUACUUGGGGGCAAACAUCAGAAGUGCCUCCCACAUAGUGAGCAGAUAUAGUAGGCUGUCCCAAUGGGAUGUUCGAGUGAUUAAUUGGAUUAUUGGAGGUACCCGUUGGCCUUGGGAACAACUCGGGAAAUCCAUGAUGGCGUUCGGGGGUUCUUUUCCAUUUGUCCAAACGUCCCAAAUCUCCAUUACCCUCAGAUACAAGAUUCUAUUCUCUACAGCUGCAGAGCACUCCGAGGCUGGGACACCCAAGAGCAGGUUGUUAUCCGAAAUAUGGAUUGUUAGCAGGGUCAUUUAUGACGACAUCUCUGUACUACCUUUAAAUCUGGUAAAGUAGUGGUGCGAAGCCAGUUUACCACAAAACCAUCCACCUGUUUUUACAAACUUGUACUCUAGAAAUUACAGCAGUGAACGGUCAGUUUUGAAACAAAUACAGAUAGGUAAUCACACAUCAACGGCUGAUGUGUCAUCCCGCCUUUUCUUUUGUUUUCCCUUGCUUGUUUUUAUCUUUUGCUUUCUCUCAUUUUCUUUUCUUUUUCCUUUCUGCGGUUUUCUUUGAUUUUCUUCCACUCUUUUCUGGUUUUCCUUUAUUUUCUUUUUGUUUUUCUCUUAUGGUUACAUUCGAAUCCGAUGAGGAUUGCCUACGUAUCGCGAUACCGCACGAAUUAGACUAAACGUAGUUCGUGAAGAUCGAGAAUAGAGUGAAUAAACUAUCUUUUUUUUUGAAAUUUUGAAAGAAAUGCAUUAAAAAAAGAAAGGAUAUAGAUAUAUAUAUAUAUAUAUUUUUUUUGCUUUUGAUUUUUGGUUUUGUUUUUGAAAGAAAGACUUCUAAAAAUUCAUUUGCUUUUGCUUUAAACCUGAGAAUUUCAAAAGUAAAAGGAAUUUUUUUUUUGAAUUUUCAUUUGUUUUACCUUUUUAUAAGGAAGAAAGAAAAUAUUUUUUGAUUUUGGAUAUUGCCUCUUAAUUUUCGAAAGAGAGAUUUUAAGAAAAUGUUUUGGAUUUAUGAGUUUUUAUUUAUUUACAAAAGUACUUCUAAAGAAAAGCGAAAAUAUUUUUUGGACUUCAAUUUUUUAAUAAUUCUUUUUGACAUUUACGAAAGAAAGACUUUUAAACAAGGAAAAGAAUUUUUUUAAAAUUCUUUUUAUCUCGUUUUUUUUCGAAUUUUCUAAAGAAGGAACAAAGGAAUUUUUUUUUGGAAUUUUUUGAAAAUUGGGGUCAACAUAGGGACUGGAUUUUUGAGUUUUUAUUUAUUUACAAAAGUACUUCUAAAGAAAAACGAAAAUAUUUUUGGACUUCAAUUUUUCAAUAACUCUUUUUGAUAUUUACGAAAAAAAAGACUAUUAAAAAAGGAAAAUAAUUUUUAUUUCUGAUUUUUUUUUCGAAUUUGCUAAAGAAGGAACAAAGGAAAAUAUUUUGUUUUGGAUUUUUUUUAAUAUUGUAGUCCAAACCGAUGAGGUUUGCCUACGUAUCUCACACCUGGUGAGAAUCAGACCCGCGUAGUUCGGGCAAAUAAACUAACUAAUUUUGAGACAAAAAUCUUUUCAAACCAUUUUUGAAUUUUCGGUAAACAAACUAAAAGAAACAUUUUUUCUUUCUUCCAAUUUUCAAAUUUUCGGCACAGUUCAGACAACAUUUGGGCAUUGGGUUUUCUAAAUUAAUCAGUUAACUCUCUGACUUGCCAUUUUUUCGCCUUUUCUAAUUUUUCUAACUUCUCCGAGACUCAAAAGCCGGUCAACAUGCAAGCCCGAGCAAAUAAAUGCACAGAAAAUAAGUAGGAUGCAUCAGGAUGGUCUAUUCAUUUCAGGUUGCUAGCUCUAGACUGACCCAACCCCUGUGUUGAGUCCCCUAAGUCAAAAUGCACAUGAUGCAAAUAAGAGUUCCCACUAGGAUCCGACAUGAGGCUGAGUUAUUUUAUGUUCAAAACCUGGGUGUUUGUUCUAGACUUGCUUGCUCGAGCGGACAACUCGAGCCGAGGGGAAGGCAGCAAUCCGGGAAUACAGAAGUUUCGCCAGCUUUGCGACUUAUCCAAACCUCGUUCUAAAUUAGGAUUUGACACUACACAGAAAAGAAGUCGUACACCGUACACCUUUCUUCAUAAUUCAGAAGACUGAGAGAGGAGAUGGGUUUCGACACAGCUUAUAAAUAGUUCACGUAAUAUCAAAGCGUUAAAAGCAAUCAAUUAGCACAUUAAGCACAUAUCAUCUAAUAGAAUCAGAUAAAUUCAAAUACAACAAUUAUUCUAAGCUCGAAUUCUGAACCCUGAACAAAACGUUCUAGGUUCUUUCCCUAGCAGAGUCGCCAAAGCUGUCACACCUCUUUUUUACAUACCUACCCCAAAGGAUAAUGUAUAAGGGAGUUUUUCCAUUUAAAGUAACAAUAUUCGAGUCAGGAUUAUUUAUUUAGAGUCGCCAUUUGGGAUAAAUUUGGCUUUUUGUGUCCCAAGUCACAAGUUUAUCUUGAAUCCCGAACCGAGGAAAAUUCCGACUUCCGAAUGGAGUUUUUUUUCAGAAAUUCUGAAUAAGGAAUUUUGUUGACCCGAGGGAUGGUGUUAGGCACCCUCAGAUCCCGUGGUUCUAGCACGGUCGCUUAAAUUUUCAUGAAUGGCUAAAAUCUGAUUUUAAUACAUGAAGAGCCUAUGUGCCAAUUUUACGUAUGACCACUUUUUUUUAUUAUGUAUUUAGUGAAGAGAAAGGGAACGUCGUUUAAAGUAUGUUUUCUGAUUGCUCCGCAUGAAAUGAACGCGCAAUCCUAGGCACACUCUAUUCAAAGUUUUAGGAUUUGGAUUUGGGUCGCAUAAAAUGUCCACUCAUAUUUAUGAAUGUAAUUUAUUAAAGUCGCGCCUAAUAAAAUCUAACGCGUUAUAAUCUUUUGGAAGAGCCAUAAAAAUAACUAAAUAGCACACCUCAAUUCCAAUUUCAAAGAAUUGUACUCAACUAAAACGAGCUACGAAUGUUCAUAAUUAUUUUAUAAAGUAUUUUGGGAUUGUACGACUGAAUAGCUCUAAAAGAAGAACUAACCUGACAUAAAGUAAGUAAGCAAGUGCAAUUGAAUAAGCUAUCUGCUAGUGAGCCGACGUAGUGCUUAAAACACUCAAAGAGGUAAUUAAAAACAUAUAAUCCACUAGAACAAAAUUAUCAAAGUACUAUCAAUACCAAUUUGUGGUUUAUUAAAUCCAGACUCCAAAGUCCAAACAUGAAAUUGUUAUGCCAACACAUUAUUAAUAUGCACAUGAUAUUUUGAAGUAUAUGAGAUCGGCUUAUUUUAAAAGGAAAAAGAAAAUCCUAAAAUUCAUUUAUAAUCAAUAAGAUUAACCAGAAAACACUUUAGCAUGAACCUAUCUUGUACGACAUUUUAGCAGAAGAAACAAAGUUGGACCAGACCAGAUCUCAUAGCUGAAUUUAAUCAUUGAUUAAACUAGUUUAAGCAGUUAUUAUAAGUAAAUCCAGCGCCGGAAUCCGUGCGUCCAGUAGCAAACAACAAAACUAACUCGAAAAGUGCUUCUUCUCCGCUCAGUAGUAACUAUAUACAAAACCCAGCAAUCAAGGAUCAAAUAAAGGUACGAAGAAGCUCAGCAGAUCCAGACACAAACAAAAUCAACAUACCAUCAAUUUUAACAGCUCGGAUGCUUGAGAAAUCCCAGAACCAUGAACGAAAAGCUCAAAAAUUGCGGAAAGUUGCGGUUUCAAUCCCCCUUUUCCGUUUUCUUUGCUUCUUUAUUUCAGAUUCAAUUUUUGUAAAAUUCAAAAUGGAACUCAGUUGUUCCAUGCAUGAGAGAGGUGAGAGCGAGAGUGAGUUCAAUGGAGAAGAAUCGGAGGCACCUCCUAAAAUUGGUAUUCCGUAUGUUUUUAUGUCACGAAGAAGCUGGAAGAAAAAAUGGUGAUGACGUGUGAGCCCUCAUCUGAAGUGAGAAUGGAGAAGAAGGAUAAAGGUAAAUAGCUGGAAUCCAAGAAUUGAGAAGGGAGCAUACUAUUUGCGUGUCUCUAUGGGGAAAAGGGUUUGGAUCGGGUAAGAGGAUUUGGGCUUGGUUUAGACGGGUUUGGGUGGUUUUUAGGACUGAUUUUGACUUUAAAAGGC
rnacentral:lncRNA from 1 species